rnacentral:piRNA from 1 species
UUUCUAUUGGAGAAAGGUUAACGUCUGACA